CCUUCAAUAGCUCAGUUGGUAGAGCGGAGGACUGUAGAUCCUUAGGUCGCUGGUUCAAAUCCGGCUCGAAGGA
rnacentral:tRNA from 1 species